ensembl:lncRNA novel transcript
AAAAUAAACCUGCCUUUUCCAUUUAGCAUUUUAUCAAAUGAAUAUAAUUUCAUUUGCUGAUGAAUUUAGUUCAGCUUCAAGAGAAUUUUUCUUUUCUUCAUGGGGAGGCUGAAGAAUCAGAACUGUCAUACCAAAGAAUGAAAAGCAAGCCUAGGGAGAACAAGACAGUCUGAUGUUUACAUGGGGUUAACUUAUUUGAUCAGUGAAAUCAGAAAAGGAUCAUUCUGCAUUCGUGGACUACUCUCAUUGACACACUCGCUUACCCAUCUGAAAACAGCAACACAGUCUGGGUUCCUGAUUUGUAUCUGUUACCCUUCAUGGAAAUGGCUGGUGAAGCAAAACUAUGUGUGUAAAACUGCAUCUGCCACAGGCUGCUUGUCCACAAAAGCAGCAAAGCAUCUCUAUGGAAUACCUCCGUAUGGAUCUGUAAAGAAGAGUCCCACUUCAGUCAAAGACAGUAGAUUAUGAGGUUAAAAGGACUUCUAACUCAAACUCCGCCUCUUAAGUUUGCUGUUCACCACUUCCAGCCUCAUGAUUUCCACUUCUAGCCUGGUGAUUUGAUGCUGAUUAAAACUUGGAAAGAAGACAAGCUCCACCCAAGCUGGGAAGGACCCUCAAGUGCUCCUAACCACUGAAACAGCCAUGCAAACAGCUGAACAGCAGCAGAUUCACUCUACUCCAAUCAAGGGACUGGUAAAACAGACCCCAGAAGGGAGGGGAAAACAACAGUAAAAAGUGCCUGGGUCACCUAAGGAACCCUUAAAGUUAACUCUAAAAAAAAAUCUAAAAAGAAAACAUAGGCUGGCCCCAUUUCUGGAAGUUAAUAUGGCUAAAAUGGGCUACUAUACAAAAAGCAGAACGUCAAAAUGGAAACUGGCAGGGAACUCCUCCCUACCCAAUCAAGUUGGUAAUCAACGUAACCAAGAUGGUAGCACCACAAACUAUAAGAUUUAAUACCUGCCCGGUCUUACCUUGUGGGAAUUUGAAAAAUCAGAGACAGCUCUCACAGGCAAAUAAGUAUCUUUGCCCUGAACCAGAUACAGAUUACAGCAGCGCAUGACUCCGCCCCAGCUGGGAUGAUGUAUGGUAAACUACCCAAUUUCAGGGAUGGACGGUAAACACGGGGUGGGUAACUCCGAGCUGGAGACCCUUAAAGAAUAAACUACAUCUGUCCAAGGGCUCCCUGCCAAAUAACUGCCAGAAUUUAAAAUGCAAUCCUAUACUCAUCACCAUUAACAAUCCAGCCAUUCUAAACCAAGAACCAAAGGAAGCGUCUUGGGUAUAUGGGUUAAGAGCAGACAUCACAGGGAAAGACCCCCUAGGGCAAUUCGUUCUCAAAAAUCAAAAACUCAACCUCCCAUUUGCCUGAGACUACUCCAACUCCAAACCCUAAUAAACACUUUAGUCCACCAAAUAAUAACCCUAAAAGGGUAAAAAUAAUUGAGGUAAAGAAUUUAAGGCAAACCUUAGAAAUUGAGACAGGGUACAGGGAUGUGAAUGCCUGGGUCGAAUGGGUCAAAUUUUCGGUACAAGCCCUCAACAAGAGUAACCACUACAAGUGUGCUGCGAAACAACCUCAGGCAAAGGUGGUUCCAUUUCCUCUAGGAUAAAAUAUCAAUCCUGAAGGAAUGCGUUGCAUGUUGGCUCUAUACCAGAACAAGGAUGCAUAGGAAAAUGAAACUUAUAAAAGUCUGUCAUUGUUCUUUCCUGCAUUGCGGAGGUCAAAUCCCAGAGCAAUUCCCUCGUUCUCUAUAGGGAAUAUAAACCACCCCUCUUGUCUCUCUAGGUGGGGGGCAGAGUUCAAUAAGCCCAUGGGAGAAUUUUCAACUUGUACCCACAUCCCAAACAUCAGUGGUAAGGCAAUGGCAAUCACUCAGCUCUCCACAUACCCAGUGCUAACGUCAUGUGGUAUUGUGGGAAAAGGAACCUCCGUAACCUGUUACCAUCCGAUUGGAUAGGGACUUGUGCUUUAGUCCAAUUGGCCAUUCCCCUCUCCCUGGCAUUCCAUAAGAUACCCAAAAAUACACAUGGCCACCAAAACCAAAAAGAUGUAACAAAUUCUUUUAAUCCCAAUAUACAUGUUAACUCAAUAGGAGUCCCUAGGGAGAUGCCUAAUGAACUUAAGGCCCGAAACCAAAUACUUGCUAGGUUUACGUCAGCACUCUUCUAGUGGUCAACUAUUAAUAAGAAUGUGGAUUAGAUUAACUACAUCUAUUAUAAUCAACAAAGACUCAUCAAUUAUACUCAGAUGCCCUCAAAGGGGGUAGCUAGCCAGUUAAAUGCCAUCAGCCAAAUGGCCUGAGAAAACAGGCUUGCACUAGACAUAAUACUAGCAAAAAAGUGGGGCAUAUGUGUUAUGCUGGGUGGGAAACGUUGUACUUUCAAUCUUAACAAUACUGCCCCAAAUGUAACCAUCAUGAAAACUUUACAAGGACUAACAACUCUAGGCAACAAACUGGCAGAAAAUGCUGGAAUUAAUAACCCAUUUAGGGGUUGGCUAGAAAGUUGGUUUAAAAAAUGGAAAGGCAUGGUAGCUUCAAUCCUUACAUCUCUCAUAACUGUGGCAGGAGUCUUAACAGCAGUGGGAUGUUGUAUUAUCCCUCGUGUGAGGGGACUAGCACAGAGAUUAAUUAAAACGGCUAUUAAUAAGCAAAUGCCCAUAACUUACCAGCAAAAUAACCUGCUACUAUUAGAAACCAAAUUAAACUCACUCUCCUAGAAAGAAAAAAGUUAACAACUUCUAAAGCAAUUCAAGUACCAGAAAGGUUUAA